rnacentral:rRNA from 1 species
GUCUACAGCCAUGCUACCCUGAACACACAGGGUUGGGCCUGGUUAAUACUUGGAUGGGAGACCAUCUAGGAAGACCAAGUGCUGUAGGUG